GGGACUGAGACACGGCCCAGACUCCUACGGGAGGCAGCAGUGGGGAAUAUUGCACAAUGGGGGAAACCCUGAUGCAGCGACGCCGCGUGGAGGAAGAAGGUUUUCGGAUUGUAAACUCCUGUUGUUGAGGAAGAUAAUGACGGUACUCAACAAGGAAGUGACGGCUAACUACGUGCCAGCAGCCGCGGUAAAACGUAGGUCACAAGCGUUGUCCGGAAUUACUGGGUGUAAAGGGAGCGCAGGCGGGCGAUCAAGUUGGAAGUGAAAUCCAUGGGCUCAACCCAUGAACUGCUUUCAAAACUGGUCGUCUUGAGUAGUGCAGAGGUAGGCGGAAUUCCCGGUGUAGCGGUGGAAUGCGUAGAUAUCGGGAGGAACACCAGUGGCGAAGGCGGCCUACUGGGCACCAACUGACGCUGAGGCUCGAAAGCGUGGGUAGCAAACAGGAUUAGAUACCCUGGUAGUCCACACCGUGAACGAUGAUUACUAGGUGUUGGGAGAUUGACCCUCUCAGUGCCGCAGUUAACACAAUAAGUAAUCCACCUGGGGAGUACGACCGCAAGGUUGAAACUCAAAGGAAUUGACGGGGGCCCGCACAAGCAGUGGAGUAUGUGGUUUAAUUCGACGCAACGCGAAGAACCUUACCAAGUCUUGACAUCCCUUGACGAUGCUGGAAACAGUAUUUCUCUUCGGAGCAAGGAGACAGGUGGUGCAUGGUUGUCGUCAGCUCGUGUCGUGAGAUGUUGGGUUAAGUCCCGCAACGAGCGCAACCCUUAUGGUCAGUUACUACGCAAGAGGACUCUGGCCAGACUGCCGUUGACAAAACGGAGGAAGGUGGGGAUGACGUCAAAUAU
rnacentral:rRNA from 1 species